rnacentral:rRNA from 1 species
GUGGGGAAUAUUGGGCAAUGGAGGCAACUCUGACCCAGCCAUGCCGCGUGCAGGAUGACGGCCCUCUGGGUUGUAAACUGCUUUUAUACGGGAAGAAAAAAUACUACGUGUAGUAUACUGACGGUACCGUAAGAAUAAGGAUCGGCUAACUCCGUGCCAGCAGCCGCGGUAAUACGGAGGAUCCAAGCGUUGUUCGGAUUUAUUGGGUUUAAAGGGUUCGUAGGCGGAUCUUUAAGUCAGUGGUGAAAGCCUGCAGCUUAACUGUAGAAUUGCCAUUGAAACUGAAGAUCUUGAAUGUGGUUAAAGUAGGCUGAAUGUAUCAUGUAGCGGUGAAAUGCUUAGAUAUGAUACAGAACACCGAUAGCGAAGGCAGCUUGCUGAACCAUUAUUGACGCUGAGGCACGAAAGCGUGGGGAGCGAACAGGAUUAGAUACCCGGGUAGUCC